AGCGAACGCCGGCGGCAGGCCUAACACAUGCAAGUCGAACGAACCUUUCGGGGUUAGUGGCGGACGGGUGAGUAACACGUGGGAACGUGCCUUUAGGUUCGGAAUAACUCAGGGAAACUUGUGCUAAUACCGAAUGUGCCCUUCGGGGGAAAGAUUAAUCGCCUUUAGAGCGGCCCGCGUCUGAUUAGCUAGUUGGUUGAGGUAAUGGCUCACCAAGGCGACGAUCAGUAGCUGGUCUGAGAGGAUGAUCAGCCACAUUGGGACUGAGACACGGCCCAAACCCCUACGGGAGGCAGAGGGGGGGAAUCUUGCGAAAUGGGCGAAAGCCUGACGCAGCCAUGCCGGGGGAAGGAUGAAGGUUUUAGGUUGGUAAAAUUUUUUCACCGGGGAAGAUAAGGACGGUACCCGGAAAAGAAGCCCCGGCUAACUUCGU
rnacentral:rRNA from 1 species